UACAGAUGAUAAGCACAAGCCAGUGAAUUGCGGCUAGUUGUCUUCUUACAUCGAUCUAGAAUUUGUACCAUCGAUAUCAUAAGGACACACGUGCGGACAAACUUCUGCUUCCCCAGCCGACCAGCCCGACACUGGCUUGGAAAAGGAUGGGUUUUUGAACUCUUAUGCGACCGGGUUUUAAAAGUAUUUUAAGGAUGACCUCGAGCACAUCGAAGCCAUGCACUAUAUUAUCUUAUAUCUCAUGCAUUUUGUUAAAUUCUAGUAAUGUGAUA
rnacentral:lncRNA from 1 species